UACGUAGGGGGCGAGCGUUGUCCGGAUUUAUUGGGCGUAAAGAGCUCGUAGGCGGUUUGUCGCGUCGAAUGUGAAAACCCGGGGCUCAACCCCGGGCCUGCAUUCGAUACGGGCAGACUAGAGUUCGGUAGGGGAGUCUGGAAUUCCUGGUGUAGCGGUGAAAUGCGCAGAUAUCAGGAGGAACACCGGUGGCGAAGGCGGGACUCUGGGCCGAUACUGACGCUGAGGAGCGAAAGCGUGGGGAGCAAACGGG
rnacentral:rRNA from 1 species